AGCAGCCGCGGUAAUUCCAGCUCCAAUAGCGUAUAUUAAAGUUGUUGCAGUUAAAAAGCUCGUAGUUGAAUUUCGGGAUCAAUUUGUCGGUCGUGCCUCGGUACGUACUGGUAUUAUUGGUUUCUACCUUCUGAAGAACCUUGAUGUCAUUAAUUUGGUGUUAUGGGAAGUUAGGACUGUUACUUUGAAAAAAU
rnacentral:rRNA from 1 species